AUGCGACCCCAGGUCAGGCGGGACUACCCGCUGAAUUUAAGCAUAUCAAUAAGCCGGAGGAACAAUUUCAUGGGUGGAUUAG
rnacentral:rRNA from 1 species